UUUGAUCCCAUUCCCUGAAGUUCUCCAGGUGUGGGAUCCCACAUGGCCCAGAAAUACCAGGAAAGGGGAGAUUUUGCCCUGAUCCCAUUCCCAGAGGGUCUCAGGUGCAGGAUCCCACAUGGCACAGGGAUCCCAGCUUGUGAUCCUGUUCCCAGAGGAUCUCCAGGUGCAGGAUCCCGGGUGCACACCCCAGGGAUCCCAGGCUGUGACCCCAUUCCCAGAGGAUCUCCAGGUGCAGGAUCCCGGGUGCACACCCCAGGGAUCCCGGGCCGUGACCCCGUUCCCAGAGGAUCUCCAGCUGCAGGAUCCCGGGUGCACACGCCCCAGGGAUCCCGGGCCGUGACCCCGUUCUCAGAGGAUCUCCAGGUGCAGGAUCCCGGGUGCACACGCCCCAGGGAUCCCGGGCUGUGACCCCGUUCCCAGAGGAUCUCCAGGUGCAGGAUCCCGGGUGCACACGCCCCAGGGAUCCCGGGCCGUGACCCCGUUGCCGU